CUCCUUUUAAAAGCACUCACUGGGCCUCUCGCUAAUGACCCACUGGGCCGUCAAGAAACGGUAAAGUAGCCCGGCCGCCGUGGCUCAGUGGCUGAGCAUCGACCUAUGAACCAGG
rnacentral:snoRNA from 1 species